rnacentral:rRNA from 1 species
CGGACGGGUGAGUAACGCGUGGGUAACCUGCCCUGUACAGGGGGAUAACAAUCAGAAAUGACUGCUAGUACCGCAUAAGACCACAGCACCGCAUGGUGCAGGGGUAAAAACUACCGGUGGUACAGGAUGGACCCGCGUCUGAUUAGCUGGUUGGUGAGGUAACGGCUCACCAAGGCGACGAUCAGUAGCCGGCUUGAGAGAGUGAACGGCCACAUUGGGACUGAGACACGGCCCAAACUCCUACGGGAGGCAGCAUG